rnacentral:rRNA from 1 species
UACGUAGGGAGCAAGCGUUAUCCGGAUUUACUGGGCGUAAAGAGCGCGCAGGCGGUUGUGUAAGUUGGUUGUGAAAUCCCUCGGCUCAACCGAGGAACUGCAGCCAAUACUGCGCAACUUGAGUGGCAGAGAGGAAAGUGGAAUUCCCGGUGUAGUAGUGAAAUGCGUAGAUAUCGGGAGGAACACCAGUGGCGAAGGCGACUUUCUGGCUGCUAACUGACGCUGAGGCGCGAAAGCUAGGGGAGCGAACGGG